ACUCGAUAUCGUAAAAGUUAACUAAAAUUUGUAUGGAAUUGGAACGCUUGCCUACGUUUGGCGCUAGGGGCGCUGUUCCAACUGCAUACAAAUUUAACUUUUACGCUAUCGA
rnacentral:pre_miRNA from 9 species